AGAGCUGUAGCUUAGUGGUCAAGCACUUGCCUCGCAUGUAUGAAGCACUGGGUUCGAUCCUCAGCACCUCCU
rnacentral:tRNA from 1 species